rnacentral:rRNA from 1 species
AGCUUGCUGGGUGGAUUAGUGGCGAACGGGUGAGUAACACGUGAGUAACCUGCCCCUGACUCUGGGAUAAGCGUUGGAAACGACGUCUAAUACUGGAUAUGACUGCCGGCCGCAUGGUCUGGUGGUGGAAAGAUUUUUUGGUUGGGGAUGGACUCGCGGCCUAUCAGCUUGUUGGUGAGGUAAUGGCUCACCAAGGCGACGACGGGUAGCCGGCCUGAGAGGGUGACCGGCCACACUGGGACUGAGACACGGCCCAGACUCCUACGGGAGGCAGCAGUGGGGAAUAUUGCACAAUGGGCGAAAGCCUGAUGCAGCAACGCCGCGUGAGGGAUGACGGCCUUCGGGUUGUAAACCUCUUUUAGUAGGGAAGAAGGGAGCUUGCUCUUGACGGUACCUGCAGAAAAAGCACCGGCUAACUACGUGCCAGCAGCCGCGGUAAUACGUAGGGUGCAAGCGUUGUCCGGAAUUAUUGGGCGUAAAGAGCUCGUAGGCGGUUUGUCGCGUCUGCUGUGAAAUCCCGAGGCUCAACCUCGGGCUUGCAGUGGGUACGGGCAGACUAGAGUGCGGUAGGGGAGAUUGGAAUUCCUGGUGUAGCGGUGGAAUGCGCAGAUAUCAGGAGGAACACCGAUGGCGAAGGCAGAUCUCUGGGCCGUAACUGACGCUGAGGAGCGAAAGCAUGGGGAGCGAACAGGAUUAGAUACCCUGGUAGUCCAUGCCGUAAACGUUGGGCGCUAGAUGUAGGGACCUUUCCACGGUUUCUGUGUCGUAGCUAACGCAUUAAGCGCCCCGCCUGGGGAGUACGGCCGCAAGGCUAAAACUCAAAGGAAUUGACGGGGGCCCGCACAAGCGGCGGAGCAUGCGGAUUAAUUCGAUGCAACGCGAAGAACCUUACCAAGGCUUGACAUACACCGGAAACGGCCAGAGAUGGUCGCCCCCUUGUGGUCGGUGUACAGGUGGUGCAUGGUUGUCGUCAGCUCGUGUCGUGAGAUGUUGGGUUAAGUCCCGCAACGAGCGCAACCCUCGUUCUAUGUUGCCAGCGCGUUAUGGCGGGGACUCAUAGGAGACUGCCGGGGUCAACUCGGAGGAAGGUGGGGAUGACGUCAAAUCAUCAUGCCCCUUAUGUCUUGGGCUUCACGCAUGCUACAAUGGCCGGUACAAAGGGCUGCGAUACCGUAAGGUGGAGCGAAUCCCAAAAAGCCGGUCUCAGUUCGGAUUGAGGUCUGCAACUCGACCUCAUGAAGUCGGAGUCGCUAGUAAUCGCAGAUCAGCAACGCUGCGGUGAAUACGUUCCCGGGCCUUGUACACACCGCCCGUCAAGUCAUGAAAGUCGGUAACACCCGAAGCCGGUGGCCUAACC